rnacentral:rRNA from 1 species
GGUUAAGCGACUAAGCGUACACGGUGGAUGCCCUGGCAGUCAGAGGCGAUGAAGGACGUGCUAAUCUGCGAAAAGCGUCGGUAAGGUGAUAUGAACCGUUAUAACCGGCGAUGUCCGAAUGGGGAAACCCAGUGCAAUUCGUUGCACUAUCGUUAACUGAAUACAUAGGUUAACGAGGCGAACCGGGGAACUGAAACAUCUAAGUACCCCGAGGAAAAGAAAUCAACCGAGAUUCCCCCAGUAGCGGCGAGCGAACGGGGAGCAGCCCAGAGUCUGAAUCAGCUUGUGUGUUAGUGGAACGGUCUGGAAAGUCCGACGGUACAGGGUGAUAGUCCCGUACACCAAAAUGCACAGGCUGUGAACUCGAAGAGUAGGGCGGGACACGUGGUAUCCUGUCUGAAUAUGGGGGGACCAUCCUCCAAGGCUAAAUACUCCUGACUGACCGAUAGUGAACCAGUACCGUGAGGGAAAGGCGAAAAGAACCCCGGCGAGGGGAGUGAAAAAGAACCUGAAACCGUGUACGUACAAGCAGUGGGAGCACCUUCGGGUGUGACUGCGUACCUUUUGUAUAAUGGGUCAGCGACUUAUAUUCUGUAGCAAGGUUAACCGUAUAGGGGAGCCGCAGGGAAACCGAGUCUUAACUGGGCGUUAAGUUGCAGGGUAUAGACCCGAAACCCGGUGAUCUAGCCAUGGGCAGGUUGAAGGUUGGGUAACACUAACUGGAGGACCGAACCGACUAAUGUUGAAAAAUUAGCGGAUGACUUGUGGCUGGGGGUGAAAGGCCAAUCAAACCGGGAGAUAGCUGGUUCUCCCCGAAAGCUAUUUAGGUAGCGCCUCGUGAAUUCAUCUUCGGGGGUAGAGCACUGUUUCGGCUAGGGGGUCAUCCCGACUUACCAACCCGAUGCAAACUACGAAUACCGAAGAAUGUUAUCACGGGAGACACACGGCGGGUGCUAACGUCCGUCGUGAAGAGGGAAACAACCCAGACCGCCAGCUAAGGUCCCAAAGUCAUGGUUAAGUGGGAAACGAUGUGGGAAGGCACAGACAGCCAGGAUGUUGGCUUAGAAGCAGCCAUCAUUUAAAGAAAGCGUAAUAGCUCACUGGUCGAGUCGGCCUGCGCGGAAGAUGUAACGGGGCUAAACCAUGCACCGAAGCUGCGGCAGCGACACUAUGUGUUGUUGGGUAGGGGAGCGUUCUGUAAGCCUGCGAAGGUGUGCUGUGAGGCAUGCUGGAGGUAUCAGAAGUGCGAAUGCUGACAUAAGUAACGAUAAAGCGGGUGAAAAGCCCGCUCGCCGGAAGACCAAGGGUUCCUGUCCAACGUUAAUCGGGGCAGGGUGAGUCGACCCCUAAGGCGAGGCCGAAAGGCGUAGUCGAUGGGAAACAGGUUAAUAUUCCUGUACUUGGUGUUACUGCGAAGGGGGGACGGAGAAGGCUAUGUUAGCCGGGCGACGGUUGUCCCGGUUUAAGCAUGUAGGCUGGUUGUCCAGGCAAAUCCGGAUAAUCAAGGCUGAGGUGUGAUGACGAGGCACUACGGUGCUGAAGUAACAAAUGCCCUGCUUCCAGGAAAAGCCUCUAAGCAUCAGGUAACAUUAAAUCGUACCCCAAACCGACACAGGUGGUCAGGUAGAGAAUACCAAGGCGCUUGAGAGAACUCGGGUGAAGGAACUAGGCAAAAUGGUGCCGUAACUUCGGGAGAAGGCACGCUGGUGUGUAGGUGAAGUCCCUGCGGAUGGAGCUGAGACCAGUCGAAGAUACCAGCUGGCUGCAACUGUUUAUUAAAAACACAGCACUGUGCAAACACGAAAGUGGACGUAUACGGUGUGACGCCUGCCCGGUGCCGGAAGGUUAAUUGAUGGGGUUAUCCGUAAGGAGAAGCUCUUGAUCGAAGCCCCGGUAAACGGCGGCCGUAACUAUAACGGUCCUAAGGUAGCGAAAUUCCUUGUCGGGUAAGUUCCGACCUGCACGAAUGGCGUAAUGAUGGCCAGGCUGUCUCCACCCGAGACUCAGUGAAAUUGAACUCGCUGUGAAGAUGCAGUGUACCCGCGGCAAGACGGAAAGACCCCGUGAACCUUUACUAUAGCUUGACACUGAACAUUGAGCCUUGAUGUGUAGGAUAGGUGGGAGGCUUUGAAGCGUGGACGCCAGUCUGCGUGGAGCCAACCUUGAAAUACCACCCUUUAAUGUUUGAUGUUCUAACGUUGGCCCCUUACCGGGGUUGCGGACAGUGUCUGGUGGGUAGUUUGACUGGGGCGGUCUCCUCCCAAAGCGUAACGGAGGAGCACGAAGGUUAGCUAAUCCUGGUCGGACAUCAGGAGGUUAGUGCAAUGGCAUAAGCUAGCUUGACUGCGAGCGUGACGGCGCGAGCAGGUGCGAAAGCAGGUCAUAGUGAUCCGGUGGUUCUGAAUGGAAGGGCCAUCGCUCAACGGAUAAAAGGUACUCCGGGGAUAACAGGCUGAUACCGCCCAAGAGUUCAUAUCGACGGCGGUGUUUGGCACCUCGAUGUCGGCUCAUCACAUCCUGGGGCUGAAGUAGGUCCCAAGGGUAUGGCUGUUCGCCAUUUAAAGUGGUACGCGAGCUGGGUUUAGAACGUCGUGAGACAGUUCGGUCCCUAUCUGCCGUGGGCGCUGGAGAAUUGAGGGGGCUGCUCCUAGUACGAGAGGACCGGAGUGGACGCAUCACUGGUGUUCGGGUUGUCAUGCCAAUGGCACUGCCCGGUAGCUAAAUGCGGAAGAGAUAAGUGCUGAAAGCAUCUAAGCACGAAACUUGCCCCGAGAUGAGUUCUCCCUGAGACUUUAAGUCUCCUGAAGGAACGUUAAAGACGAUGACGUUGAUAGGCCGGGUGUGUAAGCGCAGCGAUGCGUUGAGCUAACCGGUACUAAUGAACCGUGAGGCUUAACCUU